rnacentral:rRNA from 1 species
GAUGAACGCUGGCGGCGUGCCUAAUACAUGCAAGUCGAGCGAACAGACGAGGAGCUUGCUCCUCUGACGUUAGCGGCGGACGGGUGAGUAACACGUGGAUAACCUACCUAUAAGACUGGGAUAACUUCGGGAAACCGGAGCUAAUACCGGAUAAUAUAUUGAACCGCAUGGUUCAAUAGUGAAAGACGGUUUUGCUGUCACUUAUAGAUGGAUCCGCGCCGCAUUAGCUAGUUGGUAAGGUAACGGCUUACCAAGGCAACGAUGCGUAGCCGACCUGAGAGGGUGAUCGGCCACACUGGAACUGAGACACGGUCCAGACUCCUACGGGAGGCAGCGGUAGGGAAUCUUCCGCGAUGGGCGAAAGCUUGACGGAGCAACGCCGCGUGAGUGAUGAAGGUCUUCGGAUCGUAAAACGCUGUUAUUAGGGAAGAACAAAUGUGUAAGUAACUAUGCACGUCUUGACGGUACCUAAUCAGAAAGCCACGGCUAACUACGUG